rnacentral:sRNA from 1 species
CCCUCUUUCGGGAGAAAAUGGGUAUAAGUGUUGUCUAAACACUCUAAUCCAUCCCUAACUCUUAUAAUUAGUCAAAUGCAUUGGAUUGUGACACAUUUUGACCAUAACAACACUAACAAAACUGUUUACGGCUUUUAAGCAAUUUUUUGUUGGUUUUAGUCUGUUUUAGGAGAAAAUGGGUAUAAGUGUUGUCUAAACACUCCUAAUCCAUCUCUAACUCUUAUAAUUAGUUUAAGGCUUUGGAUUGUGACACAUUUUGACCAUAGAAACACUAACAAAGCUAUUUACUGCUUCUAAGUUAUUUUUUGUUGGUUUUAGCCUCUUUUGAGAGAAAAUGGGUAUAAGUGUUGUCCUAAUACUCCUAAUCUAUCUUUCUCUCUUAUAAUUAGUCAAAUGCAUUGGAUUGUGAUACAUUUUUACCAUAGAAAACACUAACAAAGCUAUUUACUACUUCUAAGCAAUUGUUUGUUGGUUUUAGCCACUUUUGGGACAAAAUGGGUAUAAGUGUUGUCUAAACACUCCUAAUAUAUCUUUAACUGAUAGAAUUAGUCAAAUAAAUUGGAUUGUGAUACAUUUUGACCAUGGAAACACUAACAAAGCUAUUUACUGCUUCUAAGCAAUUUUUUUUUAUUGGUUUUAGCCUAUUUUAAAGAGAAAAUAGGUAUAAGUGUUGUCUAAACACUCCUAAUCCAUCUAUAACUCUUAUAAUUAGUCAAAUACUUUGGAUUUUGACACAUUUUGACCAUAGAAACACAAACAAAGCUAUUUACUGCUUUUAAGCAAUGUUUUGUUGGUUUUAGCCUCUUUUGUGACAAAAUGGGUAUAAGUGUUGUCUAAACACUCCUAAUCCAUCUCUAACUCUUAUAAUUAGUCAAAUGCAUUGGAUUCUGACACAUUUUGACCAUUAAAACACUUACAAAACUGUUUACUGCUUCUAAGUAAUGUUUUGUUGGUUUUAGCCUCUUUUGGGAGAAAAUGGGUAUAAGUAUUGUCUAAGCACUCCUAAUCUAUCUCUAACUCUUAUAAUUAGUCAAAUGCAUUGGAUUCUUACACAUUUUGACCAUAAAAACACUAACAAAACUGUUUAGUACUUAUAAGCAAUUUUUUGUUGGUUUUAGCCUCUUUUGGGAGAAAAUGGGUAUACGUGUUGUCUAAACACUCUAAUCCAUCCCUAACUCUUAUAAUUAGUCAAAUGCAUUGGAUUGUGAUACAUUUUGACCAUAAAAACACUAACAAAACUGGUUAGUGCUUUUAAGCAAUUUUUUGUUGGUUUUACUCUGUUUUAGGAGAAAAUGGGUAUAAGUGUUGUCUAAACACUCCUAAUCCAUCUCUAACUCUUAUAAUUAGUUAAAGGCUUUGGAUUGUGACACAUUUUGACCAUAGAAACACUAACAAAGCUAUUUACUGCUUCUAAGUUAUUUUUUGUUGGUUUUAGCCUCUUCUGAGAGAAAAUGGGUAUAAGUGUUGUCCAAACACUCCUAAUCUAUCUUUAUCUCUUAUAAUAAGUCAAAUGCAUUCGAUUGUGACACAUUUAGACCAUAGAAAACACUAACAAAGCUAUUUACUGCUUUUAAGCAAUUUUUUGGUUGUUUUAGCCUCUUUUGGGACAAAAUGGGUAUAAGUGUUGUCUAAACACUCCUAAUCCAUCUCUAACUCUUAUGAUUAGUCAAACGCAUUGGAUUCUGACACAUUUUGACCAUAAAAACACUAACAAAAGUGUUUACUGCUUCUAAGCAAUGUUUUGUUGGUUUUAGCCUCUUUUGGGAGAAAAUAGGUAUUAAGUAUUGUCUAAAAACUCCUAAUCCAUCUCUAACUCUUAUAAUUAGUCACAUGCAUUGGAUUCUUACACAUUUUUACCAUAAAAACACUAACAAAACUGUUUAGUACUUCUAAGCAAUUUUUUAUUUGUUUUACCCUCUUUUGGGAGAAAAUGGGUAUAAGUGUUGUCUAAACACUCUAAUCCAUCCCUAACUCUUAUAAUUAGUCAAAUGCAUUGGAUUGUGACACAUUUUGACCAUAACAACACUAACAAAACUGUUUACGGCUUUUAAGCAAUUUUUUGUUGGUUUUAGUCUGUUUUAGGAGAAAAUGGGUAUAAGUGUUGUCUAAACACUCCUAAUCCAUCUCUAACUCUUAUAAUUAGUUUAAGGCUUUGGAUUGUGAUACAUUUUGACCAUGGAAACACUAACAAAGCUAUUUACUGCUUCUAAGCAAUUUUUUUUUAUUGGUUUUAGCCUAUUUUAAAGAGAAAAUAGGUAUAAGUGUUGUCUAAACACUCCUAAUCCAUCUAUAACUCUUAUAAUUAGUCAAAUACUUUGGAUUUUGACACAUUUUGACCAUAGAAACACAAACAAAGCUAUUUACUGCUUUUAAGCAAUGUUUUGUUGGUUUUAGCCUCUUUUGUGACAAAAUGGGUAUAAGUGUUGUCUAAACACUCCUAAUCCAUCUCUAACUCUUAUAAUUAGUCAAAUGCAUUGGAUUCUGACACAUUUUGACCAUUAAAACACUUACAAAACUGUUUACUGCUUCUAAGUAAUGUUUUGUUGGUUUUAGCCUCUUUUGGGAGAAAAUGGGUAUAAGUAUUGUCUAAGCACUCCUAAUCUAUCUCUAACUCUUAUAAUUAGUCAAAUGCAUUGGAUUCUUACACAUUUUGACCAUAAAAACACUAACAAAACUGUUUAGUACUUAUAAGCAAUUUUUUGUUGGUUUUAGCCUCUUUUGGGAGAAAAUGGGUAUACGUGUUGUCUAAACACUCUAAUCCAUCCCUAACUCUUAUAAUUAGUCAAAUGCAUUGGAUUGUGACACAUUUUGACCAUAAAAACACUAACAAAACUGGUUAGUGCUUUUAAGCAAUUUUUUGUUGGUUUUACUCUGUUUUAGGAGAAAAUGGGUAUAAGUGUUGUCUAAAAACUCCUAAUCCAUCUCUAACUCUUAUAAUUAGUUAAAGGCUUUGGAUUGUGACACAUUUUGACCAUAGAAACACUAACAAAGCUAUUUACUGCUUCUAAGUUAUUUUUUGUUGGUUUUAGCCUCUUCUGAGAGAAAAUGGGUAUAAGUGUUGUCCAAACACUCCUAAUCUAUCUUUAUCUCUUAUAAUAAGUCAAAUGCAUUCGAUUGUGACACAUUUAGACCAUAGAAAACACUAACAAAGCUAUUUACUGCUUUUAAGCAAUUUUUUGGUUGUUUUAGCCUCUUUUGGGACAAAAUGGGUAUAAGUGUUGUCUAAACACUCCUAAUCCAUCUCUAACUCUUAUGAUUAGUCAAACGCAUUGGAUUCUGACACAUUUUGACCAUAAAAACACUAACAAAAGUGUUUACUGCUUCUAAGCAAUGUUUUGUUGGUUUUAGCCUCUUUUGGGAGAAAAUAGGUAUUAAGUAUUGUCUAAAAACUCCUAAUCCAUCUCUAACUCUUAUAAUUAGUCACAUGCAUUGGAUUCUUACACAUUUUUACCAUAAAAACACUAACAAAACUGUUUAGUACUUCUAAGCAAUUUUUUAUUGGUUUUACCCUCUUUUGGGAGAAAAUGGGUAUAAGUGUUGUCUAAACACUCUAAUCCAUCCCUAACUCUUAUAAUUAGUCAAAUGCAUUGGAUUGUGACACAUUUUGACCAUAACAACACUAACAAAACUGUUUACGGCUUUUAAGCAAUUUUUUGUUGGUUUUAGUCUGUUUUAGGAGAAAAUGGGUAUAAGUGUUGUCUAAACACUCCUAAUCCAUCUCUAACUCUUAUAAUUAGUUUAAGGCUUUGGAUUGUGACACAUUUUGACCAUAGAAACACUAACAAAGCUAUUUACUGCUUCUAAGUUAUUUUUUGUUGGUUUUAGCCUCUUCUGGGAGAAAAUGGGUAUAAGUGUUGUCUAAACACUCCUAAUUCAUCUCUAACUCUUAUAAUAAGUCAAAUGCAUUGGAUUGUGACACAUUUAGACCAUAGAAAACACUAACAAAGCUAUUUACUACUUUUAAGCAAUUUUUUGUUGGUUUUAGCCUCUUUUGGGACAAAAUGGGUAUAAGUGUUGUCUAAACACUCCUAAUCCAUAUCUAACUCUUAUGAUUAGUCAAAUGCAUUGGAUUCUGACACAUUUUGACCAUAAAAACACUAACAAAAGUGUUUACUGCUUCUAAGCAAUGUUUUGUUGGUUUUAGCCUCUUUUGGGAGAAAAUAGGUAUUAAGUAUUGUCUAAAAACUCUUAAUCCAUUUCUAACUCUUAUAAUUAGUCACAUGCAUUGGAUUCUUACACAUCUUUACCAUAAAAACACUAACAAAACUGUUUAGAACUUCUAAGCAAUUUUUUAUUGGUUUUACCCUCUUUUGGGAGAAAAUGGGUAUAAGUGUUGUCCAAACACUCCUAAUCUAUCUUUAUCUCUUAUAAUAAAUCAAAUGCAUUGGAUUGUGACACAUUUAGACCAUAGAAAACACAAACAAAGCUAUUUACUGCUUUUAAGCAAUUUUUUGUUGGUUUUAGCCUCUUUUGGGACAAAAUGGGUAUAAGUGUUGUCUAAACACUCCUAAUCCAUCUCUAACUCUUAUGAUUAGUCAAAUGCAUUCGAUUCUGACACAUUUUGACCAUAAAAAUACUAACAAAAGUGUUUACUGCUUCUAAGCAAUGUUUUGUUGGUUUUAGCCUCUUUUGGGAGAAAAUAGGUAUUAAGUAUUGUCUAAAAACUCCUAAUCCAUUUCUAACUCUUAUAAUUA